AGCUGCGCGGUGAGCACAAAGCGAACUAUUCUUUCGCCUUUUACUAAAGAAAUACCGGCCCCCAAAUAGCAGCAUAUGCUAAUUUUUGAAGGGGAUUUUUCUUUUGGAGGUCC
rnacentral:snRNA from 1 species